CAUAUUGCCCCUCUUUCCUCUUCAGCUCAGUCUCACAUUUUCAGUGGGUCAUUCUCCCCUUACAUUUCCUAAAUCACAUGCUCCUUUUGUGUUAGUUUGACCAACAUGGGGAGGAUGUAAAUAAGACAGGAUUGCAGGGAAGUGGAUUUACUUAGGUAAAAUCUUUCUUGACUUAAUGUCAUGAGUAGGGUUGCCAGAUUGAAAACUAGAGAUGGAUUCUAUACCAUUAAUGGUUGCUUGGAAGAGGGAGUUUCAGCAAAUAAUGUUUGUGUGACAAGUCACAAGCAACACUUGCCGAAACCCUCUCUUCUGAACAACCAUUACAUGUCCUGGAAAAAUUUUUUGGUUUUCAGUCUGCAAUUCUUUGCAAUCCUUUACUAUACCAGAUAUUGGAUAAAGUUAUUUUUUGAAUGAUAUGCUCUAAAAUUCCAUAGUAAAUGUGUUGGCUGAGGGCUUCUGGGAGUUGUGGUCCAAGAAAUUAACUCGGCCAACACUUUGCCGUAUCAUUAUGAACCAGUUUGUAAAACAGGAAAGCUGAUCUGCUAUUGCAUUCCAUUACAUUGUUAAUAAAUGCAUAGCAUGGUGCUGCUUGUAUGAAAGGAUGUCAGGGAAGAGUCCAUAUUACCAUUGUUAGGGAUGUCAAGCAGGUAGUUUUUCCUCUUUCUGCCAUGGUGUGCAAGAGCAGAAUCCUAUUUUUCUCCAUAGCGAUGAUUGGCAGCCAUUCUCCUAUGAAAGAGAAAGGGAAGGUUUGCCCUGAGUGCCACUCCUGGGGCUAGAGAUGUCUUCCUUGCUUUGUGGAUGGCAGCUGCUUUCAGGAACCAAAGGAUGCUCUUAUCUCCAAACACUAGCCAUGACAUCCUUUUUCUUUAAUACGACACCAAAGGACGGCUUUUGUAGCUGGGAUCCCUGAGGUGCUUUUCAGAACAAAAUGUUUUACAAUCCCUCAAAACUAACCACUAGAUAGGUUGCAAAUUAAGGCAGGCCUUUGUAUUUUAAGCACUAUUUUCCUUUUUCAUCUGGUCAUCCAACAUUUUGAGAUUGUUAAAUUUGAGACAUAAUUUUAAAUUACUGAAAGCCAUCCUGGAUGUCAUCCCGAGAGAAAGAUGAGGUACAAAUUCAAUCAAUUAUUAUUUUAUUUCAAAUAUUUGUACCCUGCCCUUCUCAAUCCCCAAUCAGUUAAUCGAUACAAUCAGUCCAUGCCCCCUUUUUAAAAUAGGGAUACAACAGGCAGAGAAAGACAGUAUGGUCUGAGUGCUGGAGUAAGAUGUUAGGAGACUAGGGUUUGAAUCCCCACUCAGCUAUAGAAACCUGUUGAGAACCACUGCCUUAAACAGUUCCUACUCUCUCAGUUUCAGGGGAAAGCAAAGGCAAUGUCUCUCUGAACAAAUUCUGCCAAGAAAACCUUGUGAUUGGGUUGCUAUGAAUGAGAAAUGACUUGAAGGAGCACAACAACAAGAGGUAGAAAUGAACAUGUGAGGUUUUUUCAUUCACCAGAACAAUGCAGUAUUGGCAAAGGUUCAUUGGCUUCUUUAUAAUUGUAAAAUUGAUCUUUUCUCCCAUAGAAAUGGUUUCAGUGAAUCAGGAUAGGGACUUGGGUGAGGCUUUAGAGGUCCAAUUUGACAUAAUCCUCCCUCCAUAUUUUUCAGUCACAGCAGGGUUGGGGAAUAAGCAAACCUCUUUGUGCCAUGAGAAUGAAUAGUCAAAUCUUGGAUGUAGGACUGACAGAUUCCAAAAUUAGCCUGUCAGGCAACAUGGAUGAAACAUAUUUCACUUCUCAUGAGAAAGCUUGUAGAACCAGAGCAAGCAAGUGAGAACAAAACCAGACUCCAAAUGAGGAAAACCUUUUUGGUUGAGCAAUAAGCAGAAUGAACUUUAAUCGUUUUGCCGAACCAUAAAGUCUCCCAGAUUUAUUGGAGCAUAAACUUUCAGGGACUAGGGUCACAAAGUCAAAUGAAGUGAAUUCUAGUCCAACAAAAAAAUUAUACUGCUAUAAACCUGUUAGUUUCAAGAUGCCACAAGAUUUUCUUGAAAUCAACUACCGCCUUCUUUGAAAGGAUUUAAGUGCCAUAUAUUUUCCUAGAAUGUGCGGUUUGAAAUUGUCUCUGUGUGUACAUUUUUUUCUGCUCCCUUGAAACAAAUUUUCUGGACAGAUCUAAAAAGCUAGUUAGGGAUGUUUAUUUUUAUGGGAGAGAGUUCAAAUUGACUGCUUCUGCUGAUAACAUCGCAUUCAUUUGCAUUCAUUCAAUAUUACAUUGUUCUCUGAGCCUGAGAGGAUUCAGGGUGUGAGAAAGACCUCACCACCACCCAUGUUCCUAGCAGUGGUUCUCAACUGUGGGUCCCCAGAUGUUUUGGCCUUCAACUCCAAGAAAUCCUAACAGCUAGUAAACUGGCUGGGAUUUCUGGGAGUUAUAGGCCAAAACACCUGAGGACCCACAGGUUGAGAACCACUAUCCUAGAGCAUCAUGUUUUAUUUACAAGACAGUUCUCUAAAUUGGUCUGGUAGGAGUGGAGAUACAAGGGAGAGAAUGACCUUUGAAGUAUGUAAAAAAUAAGGAAAAAGUAGGAUUUUUCAGAUCACAACUCCCUCGGCCUCCCAAUCAGCACAACCAUCAAGCAUCAGGGAUGAGAGAUUCUGGGAGUUGUAUCUUGCAAUACAGUUUUCCGAACUCUGUUGGCGUAUAAAGUAUUGUUGGAGCCAGCCUGGAUCAAAAAUCAAUAUGACCACUUAUGGUAAUAAAUUGGAAUGGAAAGCUUCUAUGCGGAUGUGUACUCAACUCUUCAGAUUUAUGUUUGACCUCAGCCAGGGGAGUCUCUUAAAUCUCAAUCCACAGAGCUGGCACCCAGUAAAGCUUUACCCAGAUAAUAACAGGGGCCAGGGGGAGAAGGGUGUAUUCUUCCAUCCCGUUUUAAUAAAAAUCUCAUAUUGGCUCAACCUGAACUUCAAAUAUCUCCCCCCAACUCAACAUUAUCCAGAAUGCUUGUUUCAUUUUCAGGUUGUGAGAUCUAGCAUUAGCCAAAUCCCAUCAUAUGCCAUUUAAAGUGUGGCCAGACAGCAUCCUGCAGUAUCUCAGUGGCCAGAGAAGGGUGUGACCACUUUGCCUUCCUCGCUUGAACAUGCUUCCCUUUGUAUUUCGGGUCUCCGCUGGUUUUGCUGGGUCUAUGCUGUUCAGGAUUUUUCUUUCUAUCUCUUUGGCACUUUUGAGUCCUAACGGAGUGCCAAUGUGGCAGGGAUUUGGUUAAGACAACAUGGGAAGAACAGGGCAAUACCCAGGGAUUCAACUGUUGUGUCUGAGAUAGAUACUUUACCAGGAUCCUGUCCCUUCUGGGGUGUCUGUCUGUCCUGCAAAAUGCUGAAGUUGAUCUACCACAGUUUCCUCUUCCCUGGUCUUCUUUAUUGUUGAUUUGAUCUUGAUCCCUGAGCCAGGGGUGAUGGGGGUCCGUUCCUCUCUGGAUACCUCUGCACUGGGGCGUGGAUCCUGUUUAUUUUUUAUGAUGAAUCUCUGGGAUCCUGCCCUGUAAAUAAAUUUAUUUUUCAACAAAA